AAGGAUUUAAGUUGCUUGAAGAAUCUACAAUUCUUGAUCUUGAGGUACCACUUCCUUAAUGCAAUUUAUGCACAAAUAUAUCUUGUUAUAACUAUGAUAAUGUGAUGGCGAGGAUAUCUCUAUGGAAAUAUUGAAGAGCCAUUCCACGAUAUUUGUGAAAACAUUAUAUAUCUAUCACGAGUUAUGAUUUCAAGGUGCAAAUAUUCAUUAUAGUUAAUAUGGCUAGUUUAUUUAUCAAAUCUCUA
rnacentral:lncRNA from 1 species